ensembl:miRNA Gm24855 predicted gene, 24855
UGUGUGUGUGUGUGUGUGUGCACGCACAUGUGCAUGUGCAUGCAAGUGUAUGCACACAUACACACACACACACACACAC